rnacentral:lncRNA from 1 species
AAGGAAGAGCUAGUCUACCUUCUUCCUUCUAUGUACCAGGAAACAGGCCCAGAGAAGGGGAGUAACUUGCCCAAAGGCGCACAGAGCACUGGGUCAGAGUGUGAAGGGAGUGGCUGCCUGCUCUGGGGCCUUGGGGCUGAAUCCAGGUGCCUCCUCUCGCUCCCUGAGGCUGACGGGUGCAGGAGGGUCUGCAAGUGAGGCUUGCUUCCCAGAGCGGCGGCUGGAACAUGGUGGGUGCUUCAUGAAUGGGACAGCCCAGUCCUCGGCUUCUCCACGGGUCCCAGUGGAGAUCUGAUUUGCCCCCUCACUGCAGGUGGACCUCAAGAUCUGGACGGAUGCUGCACCUGAAGCACUAUGGUGAUUCCUAGGACUUGAUUGGAGUUGCAUUGAAUCUACAGAUUAACUUUGAGGAGAACUAACAUCCUUAUAAUUUUGGAGAGAAUUGACAUCUUUAUAAUUUUGUGUAUUCCAAACCAUAAAUAGGAUGUCUCUCUCCAUUUAUUUAACUCACUGAGAAAGGCAACAUAAUACAAGAUUAAGAGUGCGGAUUCUAUAGCCAAACUGCCUGAGUUCAAAUCCCAGCUCUGUCAGUAGAUCUGUAACUUUGUGAGAGUUUCUGGUUCCCUUGCAUGUAGAUGCAAUGAUUAUAAUAACAUAGGAGUGGUUGUGAG